rfam:Nematostella vectensis strain CH2 x CH6 NEMVEscaffold_279_Cont22159, whole genome shotgun sequence.
GCCGAAAUAGCUCAGUUGGGGGAGCGUCAGACUGAAGAUCUGAAGGUCCCUGGUUCAAUCCGGAGAUUUUGUA